GGGCUUUUGGCGCAGUUGGUAGCGCGCAUGCUUCGCAUCGUUAGACUGCAUGAGGUCGUGGGUUCGACUCCCACAGAGUCCA